CGAAGGCAUUCGUGCAUGUGGUUAUAUCCGGUUGUAUUCCGAAGAAGCUUGGGCUGGAGGUGAGCGUUGGUUGCUGUAAUAAAUUUAAUUAGUACGCUCGAAAAGCCCAAAGAAUAAGAUUUUGCUCGUUAGCGAUCGGAUUCGGGAUCAUUAAAGUCGAAGUCAUCUACACUAUCAAAGCCUCCAUUUUGGUAUAAUUUUGGUUGAACUUUGAAAUGGCAUGUAUAGGACUACCCUAUUGUUGAAGGUCAUGUACCUUUCGGUUUUGUGUAAGCUUGGAUAGCCAUGCGAAAAUGGCUUAUAUACGUUUUUAGUAUGAUUCUAUAA